UAAUGUUAAACCUGCUCGCUUGCUGCCUUGGUCGAGGUUGAACAUCCAAAAAUUUUCGAAGUUUGACGGCCCACCAAACCAGUUUAGGCUUUAGGACACUGUAUUUGCACAAAAGGAACCGAUAGCGAGUAAUGUUCCGUUGUUCUUCUGUCACUGAGACACAAUGGAACAAGUCAUGCAGGUUAUUAACUAGACAGUUUUUCUUAAGAUGAUACGUGAACUUCCCCUGAAGUAAGAGGAUAAACCUUCUUCAGGGUUUUGACUUAUCACCUGUAGGCUUAUGUCAGGGGAAGCUCAAUAUAUCACCCUUGACAGGUUUAUGCACAGACAGAACAUUGAUUUGACUGUGAGCUCAGGCAUGCUUGUCAGUUGUCACAACAGAAAUCAGGACCUGUACACUUGACGGUUAACCCAUCAACACAACUAAAACCUCAAAUUUUGUUCAUGCUCAUAAUACUAGAGUAUGCCAGUGCUGUCUACCAGUCUCUGGCAGGAACCGCUGUUAACUGAAGAAGUUUUCAGUGCUGCCUACCUGUACACUUGGCAGGAACCAUGCAUUUACCAGUCUAUGUAGGUUGCUAGCUCUACUUUUGUUGCUUUUCUGUUCUCGGAUUUAAUAGUGGCUGUUGCCAAGGUUAGGCUCUAACUCGAUUUUCUAAUCAUCUCGGUGGGCUGGUGUGCGCUCUGACUGCAUCCGCGACGAAACUUUUGGAACGCCACAGAUCCCAACGGUACGUCGCUUUCCUUCCCUUUAAACUUUCUGUCACAAAUCUCUGCCGUUUGAAGUUGUUAUAUUUCUGCUAGAUUUAUGUAUAUGUCUUCGCAACUUGCAAAUUCAUUUGCUGUUUUGCACGGCAGAGUACGGUGUUGCCCUUUUCUGAAACGACGAAAUAGGAUCACAUCACAUUUAGUAUUCAACUGGUAGGCAAAUCGAGCUCCGCAUGUAGGCACUAGGCAAGCAUACCUGUUGACCAUGGUCACAAAGAUAGAGAUGAACAAAAUUUAGUUUCCUCAAAAAAUGGCAGCAUGAAUAAUUGUUUGCUGGCUCCAUAAUAGUAAUAUGUUAAUCGGUGUUCCUAAUCUUAACAGCUGGAAAUAAAACUUAUACACUUAUCUAGUGACGUCAAAUUUUGUAUUUUAUUUUCCUCAUAAUUAAGGAGAAAAUUGGAUUUGAUAUCUCUGCAGCUCCACUGUACUACAAGGGGUGGUACCAUCUCUUCUAUCAGUACAACCCCAAGGGCGCCGUGUGGGGCAACAUCGUGUGGGCGCACUCGGUGUCGCGUGACCUCAUCAACUGGAUGGCACUGAAGCCGGCGAUCGAGCCCAGCAUCGCGUCCGACAAGUACGGCUGCUGGUCGGGCUCGGCGACCAUGCUCCCCGACGGCACGCCGACGAUCAUGUACACGGGCGUCAACCGCCCCGACGUCAACUACCAGGUCCAGAACGUGGCCUACCCGCGGAACAAGUCGGACCCGCUGCUCCGGGAGUGGGACAAGCCCUCGCACAACCCCAUCAUCGUGCCCAAGGCCGGCAUCAACGCGACGCAGUUCCGCGACCCCACCACCGCGUGGCGCGCCGGCGGCCACUGGCGGCUGCUCAUCGGCAGCGUGACGGGCCCCGCCCACGGCGUGGCGUACGUGUACCGGAGCCGCGACUUCAAGCGGUGGACGCGGGUGGAGCGGCCGCUGCACUCGGCGGCGACGGGGAUGUGGGAGUGCCCGGACUUUUACCCCGUCGAGGCCGCCGGCCGCCGCGAGGGGCUGGACACGUCGGUGUCCGGCCGGCGGGCGAGGAAGUACGUGCUGAAGAACAGCCUCGACCUGCGGCGGUACGACUACUACACCGUCGGCACGUACGACCGGAGGGCCGAGCGGUACGUGCCCGACGACCCCGCCGGCGACGAGCGCCACCUGCGGUACGACUACGGCAACUUCUACGCGUCCAAGACGUUCUACGACCCGGCGAAGCGGCGCCGGAUCCUCUGGGGCUGGGCCAACGAGUCCGACACCUCCGCCGACGACGUCGCCAAGGGCUGGGCUGGGAUUCAGGUUGGUUUACAUGCGUUCUUCCAUGGCUAGAUGUCGAUCAAUCAUGCAUGGCGUCAUGCAUUUUCGGUGCUCCAUAUCAGGCGAUUCCAAGGACGGUGUGGCUGGACCCCAGCGGGAAGCAGCUGCUGCAGUGGCCGAUCGAGGAGGUCGAGGCGCUCAGAGGCAAGUCGGUCACUGUCAAGGACAGGGUGAUCAAGCCAGGACAGCACGUCGAGGUCACCGGGCUACAAACUGCACAGGUCUGUCAUGCUUACAACUUGCAGUCCUUUUCACUUGGCAGUCCAUGCAUGUACGUUUUGCCUGCCGAUGGAUAGAUAUAUUUUUCCAAAGAACCAAAAGGAAUAACAGCACUACUGGCAUCAACCCUGAUCUGCGAAUCGCAGCACGAUGUCAUCCUGGCUCACAAUCCCUUAUCUACUGCCAGUGCUUAGAACGCACAAGCCGAUCGUGCCCAGCGUGCAGCCCCGCGCGGCCACUAGCUGCCCUCGCCCGUCGCCUUUCCUACGUGCCAUCUACGUCGCCCACCCAUUUUUCACCGCACCUUUUGCCGUCAUCACCACUCACCUUCAUGGCACUAUCACAAGUACCAGGAGCUAGUCCUUUACCUUUAGAAUCCUUUUCUUCUCCAGUUGCGAUGUGAUGAUGAGUUAGGAACUAACCUCGGCGUGCGCGCACUUUGUGCGCUCUUGCUGUGCAGGCUGACGUGGAGGUGACCUUCGAGGUGUCGAGCCUGGCGGGCGCCGAGUCGCUGGACCCAGAGCUUGCCGGCGACGCGCAGCGGCUGUGCGGUGCCAGGGGUGCCGCCGUGGAGGGUGGCGUCGGGCCGUUCGGGCUGUGGGUGCUCGCCUCCGCCGACCGGCAGGAGAGGACCGCCGUGUUCUUCAGGUUGUUCAGGCCCGCGCGCGGCGGCGACAAGCCCGUCGUGCUCAUGUGCACCGACCCCACUAAGUAAGUGCGCGCGCGCACUGGCAUCGAUCGAUGACACGUUGGCAUGUAGUCAGCCACGAGUUUUUCGUGUGCUCACCUUCUAACGCACUUGACUAGUUGACUGCACUGACUUGGGUUUCCGUUUUGUUUUUUCUUGGGCAGGUCGUCUCUGAACCCAAACCUGUACCAGCCGACGUUUGCAGGUUUUGUUGAUACAGACAUUUCAGAUGGGAAGAUCUCUCUGAGAAGCCUGGUAUGCACACAGUUAAACGAAGUUUCAGAAGCUUAGACAAUUUUGUUUCCUUAACUAAUUAGGUGUUUAUUUGGACGCUUAAUUAUUUUCUCUGCAGAUCGACCGGUCGGUUGUGGAGAGCUUUGGAGCCGGGGGCAAGACCUGCAUCCUCUCGCGGGUCUACCCGUCGCUCGCCACCGGCAAGAACGCUCGCCUCUACGUGUUCAACGGCGGGAAGGCGGACGUCAAGGUGUCCCGUCUGACGGCGUGGGAGAUGAAGAAGCCACUCAUGAAUGGCGCCUGAAGUAUUACAAGCAUGCGAGCUCCCAUGGUGUCUCGUCCACAUUUGGCGUGUCUUUCCUUUUCAUUUCAGGUGUUUCCACGUUUCCAUUGAUUGUUAGGGAUAAUGGACCGUGCUCCUUAAUUUGUACAAUGGCUUGUGCUGUGCUUUAAUCUAUGAGUACGAUUUCACUCACAGAAAAAUGAGUAUGAUUGUGUAUGAAGGUGCCAAUUCAUAUGCCACUAGCUACGAAUAAGAAACAUUUAUACAUGUUCUGGGUGCGCAUUGACGAUAAACCGGUGCUAGUUUAAUUUGUAAGCUGGUCUCUCAGUACAGGUUGUCAAUUACUGAUGAAGGACUGUGCUAUCUUAUACUGUGGGCCUUUUCAAACAAGAUAAAACAAAAAUUGUCAAUGGUCUCAUGCUAAAUGACCAAAAUAUGGUAUCAUUUUCGUCCUUGAUUCUUUUACCAAGUUGUGGCUCCUUUGUCAGUUGCACCUAUCAUCGCCAAAAACUUCCUGCUCCAUAAAAUUCAUAACCUCGCAUGGCUUCAAUUACCAGAUAGAACAUUAUGCUUAUAGGUUAAACUAAGCAUCCUAGGUAGGUCAAAAUAAAGCCUCAUCCUGAUAGCAUUUCCCCAUUCUCUAUUCAGCUGCAGUGGUGCACAAUGCAGUAGUACUUCCUCCCAUGUCCAUUAUUCUUCACACAAGUGCAGCCUAGGUAGGUAAAAGCCUCAUCCUGAUAGCAUUUGACCUUUUUUUUCUCAGUAGCAUGAAACACUAGUAUAUAUUCCUUCAUUUGAGCCACCAAUUCGUAUACAUUCUUCCUCCCAAAGUAAAAGUAUCAUACAGCUUUCUGGGUGGACUAACAAGUUACAUCAGGGAUUGCACUUGCGCUACCUUUCCUCGGAAGACAAAAGGAGAUAAACUUAGAGCGGUUAUUAGGCCAACAGGGCAUCGGAAAAGUUGAUCAGGGUAAGAUAUAAAGAUAAGCCUAGUGCACAUAUAUUUAAAGGCGUAGCAGCCAUGUUACAUUACGAGGAAAACGCACUUGUACAAUGUCUCUGUACACACUUGGCAAUGUCCAGUUUGUCUCCACGAGUGCCACCGGAUCAUAUACAACAUAAAAUGGAAAGGUGCUCCCUAGUUCUAAAAAGAUGUUGUUUAUGUGUGCCGUCAAAUUUUAGAAUUUUUUAUACAAAAUCAUUAAAAUUUGUCAUGUGGAACUAGCCACUACUACAAAACUGAUUUGUAAGAACCUCUUUUAGCCACCCACUCUGACUGAAGACCUGUUGAAAUGCAUGAUAUCCACAUGCACAAACUAAACUACUACCUCCGUCCCAAAUUACUAUUCGUUUACAUCACUUUUGCCAUGUAUCUAGAUAUAAGUAUAUAUGUAGGUGCAUGUUAAAAUGUGUGUAUAUAGAAAAAACAAAACGAAUAGUAAUUUAGGAUGGAGAGAGUACAUGUGAAAAAACAAUUUUUACAGUUAGUUCACUUCAGGAACCACAUGUACUAAUAUCUUUUACAGGCGGUUCCUUAAUGCGCUUAAGUAACUAUCUAGAUGUAUACCACAAGUAGUUAGUAUAAGGACCGGACUAGUCUAUAUAUUUUCCCGAACCUGAAAUUGAUACAUAUUUUAUUCUCUCCAGAUUUCAACACAUUUUCAAUACUAUAUCCAAACACCAUUUCAUCACAAAUUACAAAGAUAGACUUUUAGGACAAAGCUAGUACUAACUAACUUCUUCACGUUAAUUGACCUUAAUGAUGUUGGAAGCAACUUUUUGUAACAUGAGCAUAAAUGAUGUUGGAUAAGUACGUGUUCAAGGGGAAGUGCAAUGAAAUAGGACUAUAAGGCUUCAUGUGGAUACUUAUACCUUCAAAAUAGGUACUUAAGAACCCAUAACAGGAUCAGCCUAAGAAAGCCCAUGUACAGGUUGAAAGUUUAGUCAUAAUACCUAGAAUGAAAUGCACUGAGAUUGGAAAACGUACCAACGGAGAAUGCACUCUGUUAGAGUUGUACACAAUAAAAAAAAUCAAUGAAGUUUUCCCGCAAAAAAAAAUCAAUGAAGUUGAGAGGCAUCUGACUGCAUUGUUUUUGUGUUUUCUUAUUCUUGUUUUAGCAUGGUAACCUGAUUUACAUGUAACAGGCAUGGCAAUGGCAUAUUGUUCUAGAAAAAAAAAUAGUCCCAUCCUCAGCCUCGGCUGCAUGAGAAGGUGCUGCGAAAGAAAAGUUAGGUCGAAUGUAGAGACAACAUAGCGAUAGAGAACGUGCAUAGUGGGCGGAGGUAGAGCUCGAAAAGGAAUGGAAACGGAAAUCGCACUCAAAUGUUAGAACCCGAACUGAGAGCAAAGGACAACGAACAAGAGGCCUAGUUGAGUUGAGACUUGACAGAAAGUUUCUCGUUGUGUUGACACUUGACAGUGCUUUUUCCUUUUCGAGGACACAUUGCCAAGAUUCCAGCGAGUUGCCAUGUGCCCACGCACGUAGAUGAAGGCUGUGCUAUCAUUGUGCUGCGCAUAAGCUUAUUACUGAUGCCGACGGGUACUAAACUAAAGGGAAAAAGCGAAGGUGCAUAAGCAUAUAUAUUCCGCAACCAUUAGGGAACAUUAACGGUUUUCAGUGGUAUAAAUAAAAACAUAUAUAUUACCUCUGAAUAUAAAACACCAUUGACUAUUUUUUUCAUUUAACUAUUCAUCUUUAAAAAUAUUUAUACAACAUGAUAAAAGUACUUUUUAAUGAUAGAUGUAAUGAUAAUCAUUUUACUUUAUUUAGCUAAUUCAUUAAAUAAAUAUUAUUUAUCAAACUUUGAGAAAAAUUAGAUCGUGUCAUAUAUUUAAGAACAACUAUUUGAAGACAGAGAUAGUACUUUACAUAAACACCAUUCUACUCUAUUAUAUGACAUAGUGUGUCAACCCGCACGAAGAAAAUGCUACGCGAACCUCAACCGGUUUCAAUAAGAUACUGAUGUCAGCUAGGAGGUAAAGAAAAAACCUCGGCCAAGAUGCGUAAUUUUUUUUUCUGCAAAACACAAGAUAGACGCAAAUGCCCACAUAUGCACACGCACGCUCACUUUUAUGAAUACAUGUAACACUAUCCCUAUAAGCAUCUCCAAGUGACUGAACUAACAGGUCUUGAGAUUAAAGAAGUCACCACGGGCAUCUGAUGGGCAUAUCACCUACCACUGAAAGACUAGAAUCGUUAAUUCCUGAAAUAAGUCUAGAAAAAUACAAGCACAUAUGCCAGAUCGAGGACUCGAACUUGAGUUGGCAGGGUUCAUUACAAGAAAUCUCUAAAACCUUAAGUUGAUGGAAAAAGAUUAGCAGUUCAAUUAUACUUCAGCAUUCCCGCUCAAGCAUAGGCGUUGUCAGGCCUUAGACGUGAAUAAUAAGAGCGGGCAACAAUUUUUUUUUUUGUUAAACUUCACUUCUAGGAAUGAUAUUGCAUUUGUCUCUAAUACCAAUUUAGCUGCAUGUAUCAAUUAGUUAAUUAUUACACCUGUAAUCCUAAGUUGAUAGUUGAUAGAAAAAAUGAGCAAUUUACUUAUAUUUCAACAGAAAUAUCUUGUGUGCUCUCCUUUUAUGGUGUCCAUGUUAAUCCUUACAAGAUAUAAUAGAAAAAUAGAAAACCUAAAGGACAUAUUUUAGUAAGCUUCUUCAGCAAAAAAUCAUGUACUAGCCAAUACACUAAAACACUUUGCAUAUCCUUGGAAGACGGGUCAGUCUAACUGAGUACCUUUAUACUCAAGGUAGUGGCGAAGCUAGAGUAAAUUAGUGGGGGAUGCAUUUGCCUUGUGGGUGCAUAGUGUUGAGCUAAGGAGGGUACAUGUAUGGUGAAAAUUUAAGCAUAAUCACUAUUUUUGUAAAAUUUAGGGGUGCAUUAGCACCCACUAAUCAUAGUGUAGCUUCACCCCUAACUCAAAGUAUCUUUAACUUGUGGCAGAAGAUUCCACUGAAGCCAGGUGAAGAGGUGCUUAUGAUGAACAAGAACAUAUUGUUGAGUCCAAUAUAUUCUUGCAAAUACGUUCUUGAUUAUUGUAUAAUUAAAGUUUUACAACAAUAUUGUUCCCGACUAAGUUUGUUUCGAAAACCUCUUAGACUGGUUUGACCAACACUUUAAGGGGGUGUUUGGCAACACACACCUAAACUUUAGUACCUGUCACAUCGGAUGUUUGGAUACUAAUUAGAAGUAUUAAAUAUAGUCUAAUUACAAAACUAAUUGCACAGAUGGAGUCUAAUUCGCGAGACGAAUCUAUUAAGCCUAAUUAGUCCAUGAUUUGAUAAUGUGGUGCUACAGUAACCAUUUUCUAAUGAUGGAUUAAUUAGGCUUAAUAGAUUCGUCUCGUGAAUUAGUAUAGGGGUUCUGCAGUUAGUUUUAUAAUUAGCUCAUAUUUAGUCCUUCUAAUUAGCGUCCGAACAUCCGAUGUGACCCUCCUAAAGUUUAGUAUCUCGUAUCCAAACAACCCCUAAGUUUCUUAUGGUUUGUAAUAAAUUGUAUCUCUAUAAAUCAUUUAUGUAAAAAAUUUGAUGUAUAUUGUGAGUUUCUCUUCGCAAAAGCAGUCCUGAAUGCAUGGUUAAGAUGACAGUUCUAACGUGGAUGAUUCGGGAUUGUCCCGAUGACACCUCAUGAAUUGCCAAAUUUACAUUGUUUCAAGAGCGUUGGCAAUAGUUACCGAUGCGGUGGUGAUUAGGGGCACCGGCACUUGAGCCGUUUUAAAUGUAGGAGUACAACUUGAUGGACAACUAUUUAUUGUUCAAAAGCAUAGAUGGUUAUUGUUACACGUAUGUGCUAAAAGCAAUGGUAGGAAUGUAGUUUAAGUGCUGAAGCUAUAAAAAAAAAAGUAACUCAGUGGACAUGACUAACUAACAGGUACUUCCUCGUUCCACAUUACAAGGCAUUUCAACUUCUUGGAGAGUCAAAGCAUCUCAAGUUUGACCAAAUUUAUACAAUAAAAUACUAACAUUCAUGAUACCUAAUAGGUACCAUUAGUUUCUUCAUUAAAUAUAUUUUCAUAAUAUAUCUAUUCCGUGCCAUAAACUUUUGUGAUCUUCUUUAUAAUUUUAGUCGAACAUAAAUUGGUUUGACUUUUUAAGAAAGUUAGAAUAACUUAUAACUUAUAAUUUUCUAUUUUCUUAUGUCCUCGGAAGUUACUCGGCGCCACGUUCCCCACGUUUAACAGGGCAGGUAAGUGUCGAAAUCAAGUGCUAAAAUUACCGCGCGCCAUCAGAAGAGAUCACACUAUUACAGAACAUAAACCAAGGGAAAAUUUUCUUCUGAUUAGGUGCGGGUGAACUACGAUUUUCCACACACGCCGAAAGCAAAUAAAACAAACCAGGUUUCACAUCGUAAAGAAAAAAAAUGCAGCCUGAUAGAGUCGUGAACAUUUCGACAAAAUCUGCAGAUUUUCCAGCAACCCCUUGUCAGAUACGACGACCUGCUGCUCUCCGCGGAAAAAAAUUCCAAGAGGACGGUGCCCAAACUUCUGUUCGUGAGAAUCCACCCUGGAUGUGCGACGCGUGGCUACUGCUGCCAUCCGAUGCACAUGCUCGUGAGGCUCGACAGGCUCGGCUUGCAUACCUUGGCUCACAGGCUCCAGGCUUCGAUACAGCCAAGCGAGGAUCCUGGAACCUGCCGCCGCCAUCGUCCCCUCAUCCACUGCUGCAGCUCGUCUGCCGGAGCCCCUAGCGUCCGCGGCCGCAGCUCCCUUGGACGGCCUCCUCCGAGAUCUCGUCAUCCCCGCACGCGGCCUCGAUCUCGGCGUGGAGCCUCUCCUAGACCGCCAUGAUCCACUGCAGAGCCGUCGAGGUGGUGCGGGUCCCAACGUUGAGGAACUCAGAGCAGAGCGUUACGAUCUCGUCGUCGGUGAGCGGGCGGUUGCGCUCCUCAGGGACAAGCAACCUGAUGUCGAGUGCCGGAACGUGGUCUCGUUCGCCGGCGCCGCCUUGCCUUCCUGCAUGAGCCGCUGCUUGUACUCCCGCGGCGCGUUGAUCAGCGGCAUGAAGAGCUCCUUCUGGUGCCGCCUUAGGGCGCGUCCAGUCUCGAGGUGCCCGCGGAAAACGUGCUUGGUGACGGACGGGAGGAAGAAGAAGAGCCCAUCUGUCUGGGGCUGGAUAUGUACGUGAGCCAGGCGUGCUCGGCGUCCUCCAUGGUGUGCACCACCGGCUCGUCGAGCCUCUCGCUGAAGCACAUGAUCACGAGGAGGCAGAACACCGUGUACUGGAACGCGUCCAUGACGUUGCCGGGCGCGUCACCCGACUCCCGCAGCUUCUCCAUGAGGACGCAGCGCACCCAGGCGCGCGCCGGAGCAAACUGCCUGACGCGCGACGGGUGGAGCGCCUCGCCGACGAGGUUGCGCCGCAGGAGGCUCCAGAUGGGCCCGUAAUCGGUGCGGGUGAUGAUGCUGUCGCUCACGCUGAGGAGCACGUUCAGCGUGCCUGACGUCCAAGGGAGCUGCGGCCGCGGACGCUAGGGCUCUGGCAGACGAGCUGCAGCGGAUGAGGGGACGUAGGCGAUGGCCGCGGCGGCGGUGGGUUCCCAGGACCCUCGCUCGGCUGGCUCGAAGCCUGGAGCCUGUGAGCCAAGGUAUGCAAGCCGAGCCUGUCGAGCCUCACGAGCAGGUGCAUCGGAUGGCAGCAGUAGCCACGCGUCGCACAUCUAGUGGGUCCUCGUGGACAGAAGUUCGGGGACCGUUCCAUGGAAUUAUUUUCCGCCCUCCGCGGGCGAAAACGACGUUGCUGAAUUCAGAAAAAGCAUAAGUUCCAGGCCACAAUCACGGGAUUUCGAGCGCUUAAAAAAACACAGCGCACGCCUGCCACGCCUCGCACGCUGGCCAUGAGGCCAUCAGCUAGCUGCACAGUAUAAAUAGCACGCCUUGUCCUCUGCUUCCGACCAUCCUUCUUCGUCAGUUCUCUACUUGUUCUUCUUGCUAAUACUCCUCUGUGGGGCUCUGUGGCGCCUAAGCGAGAGCAAUGAGAGCGCUUGGAAGAGUUGUGUGGGCAUGGCUGCUGCUCCUGCAGUUAGCCGGGGCAUCCCACGUUGUCUACGAGAACCUCCUCGAGGUGGAGGCGGCGGCCGUGCCGCCGUCCAUCGUCGACCCCGAGCUGAGGACGGGGUACCAUUUCCAGCCCCCCAAGAACUGGAUCAAUGGUAAUGAAAAAGCCCUAAACCCUACCUACUGACAUGCUCAGGUAGGUGGUGCGUAUACGAGCAAGCAAUGCGUGUUGGCAACUUACUCCUGGCCUUCAGGCCUUGUGAGUGGCAACUUGUUGCUGGAGUGCUGGGGCGAGUGAAUGCGCUGCAGCUCCAGUCAAGUUGCCGCAUAGGAAAAUUCGUGUCCGCUCGACUGUUCAUACGGUGCACUGGUUUUAAUAACCACACCAUUCAUACGGUGCACUGGUUUUAAUAACCACGCCACCAGCUGACCAUCAGCUAGCUUCCUUUGCUAGAGUCCUGAGCUUCUGAUUACACGUCAAACACCGCGUAUUUCUGGAGUUCUCCAGUUCUUGCUUGCUCGUGCAAGUAUAAAUACCGGCCUCCACCCUCCCUUCUUCCUCUGCCCACCCUUCACUUUUGUACUGGUGCGCGUGAGGAAGAGCAAUGGGAGCGCACGGAAGGGAUGCUUCUUGGGCAUGCCUGGGGGUGGCGCUGCUGCUGGUGCAGCUCGCCGGGGCGUCGCAUGUCGUCUACGAGAGCCACCUCGAGACGGAGGCGGCCGUGCCACCGUCCAUCGUCGACCCCCGGCUGAGGACCGGGUACCACUUCCAGCCUCCCAAGAACUGGAUCAAUGGUAAAGCAAACCUCACAAACUUGCUGUGUUAUUGUGUUAUUGGACGAGGUAGUAAAAGGUGCAGCUUAAUUUUGAUUGCGUCUAGGGCACUCUAAAGGCUGAAGGAGCCAACAGUUCAGAAGUCUAGCUAGUGUUCUUCUUGUGCUGCAUAGAUAAGUCAGAGACAAGGUCAUGCAGACUAACAAGCCAGUUUUUUUUUAGGAUGAUAUAUUGAACAAUCUCCUGAAAUGAUCACUUGGAGCCCGAAUUAGUAAACUUGAUAUGACUGGUAGCUCAGACAUGCUUGUCACAGCAGAAAAUCACGCGCUGACAGUGCUGCUGUACGCUGGUUAACCCAUCAACUCAACUCUCUAUCAGAAAUCACGUACAGCACCCUCGAGAGUAUCAGACACUUGGUUUGCUUUUACGAAUUUAACAAUGGUUCUCGUUCCAAGGUUUGGCUCUAACUCGAUUUUCUAAUCUUCUCGGUGGGCUGCUUCUCUGCGAUCCGAUUGCGUCGGCGCCGGAACUUUUUGCAACACCAGAUCCCAACGGUACGUCGUUGUACCACCCUUUAAAUUUCCUCCCGUCAUCACGCAUCUGAUAGAUUAUUUUAGUAUAUUUAUAAAUGCCCUGCGUGCAACUUGCAAAUUCAUUUCCCGGCAGAAAACAGUGACGCCUUUUAUGACAAAAUUUCACCACAUGCAUUUAGCAUGCAAAAUGGCACACGCUGGGCCUCCACAUGUACGUAGCCAUGCUUGUCGACCAUGGUCGUUGGCUCCAAGCCUCCGACAGUGUCCACCAAUCAACAAAAGGCACAAUUUGUAUAAUGUCCUAAAGUUCGAAACAAGCAUCAUAUUGAAUGUUUUUUUUUCCUCUGAGGUUCUAAAAGAUUUUUUGGUUGAAUGAAACUACAGCUCCGAUGUACUACAAAGGCUGGUACCAUUUCUUCUACCAGUACAACCCCAAGGGCGCCGUGUGGGGCAACAUCGUGUGGGCGCACUCGGUGUCGCGGGACCUCAUCAACUGGGUGGCCCUGGAGACGGCGAUCGAGCCCAGCAUCCCGUCCGACCAGUACGGCUGCUGGUCCGGCUCGGCGACGAUCCUGCCCGACGGCACGCCGGUGAUCAUGUACACAGGCAUCGACCGCCCCAACAUCAACUACCAGGUCCAGAACAUCGCCUACCCGAGGAACAAGUCCGACCCGCUGCUCCGGGAGUGGGUGAAACCUGCGCACAACCCCAUCAUCGUGCCCGAGGGCGGCAUCAACGCGACGCAGUUCCGGGACCCGACCACCGCGUGGCGCGACGACGACGACGGGCGGUGGCGGUUGCUGAUCGGCAGCGUGGCCGCCGGGGGCGCCCGCGGCGUGGCGUACGUGUACCGGAGCCGCGACUUCCGGCGGUGGGCGCGGGUGCGGCGGCCGCUGCACUCGGCGGCGACGGGGAUGUGGGAGUGCCCGGACUUCUACCCGGUCGAGAGGGACGGGCGGCGCGUGGGGCUCGAGACGUCCGUGUCCGGCCGGCGGGUGAAGCACGUGCUGAAGAACAGCCUCGACCUGCGCCGGUACGACUACUACACCGUCGGCGCGUACGACCGGAGGGCGGAGCGGUACGUGCCGGACGACCCCGCCGGCGACGAGCGCCGGCUGCGGUACGACUACGGCAACUUCUACGCGUCCAAGACGUUCUACGACCCGGCGAAGCGGCGGCGCAUCCUCUGGGGCUGGGCCAACGAGUCCGACACCGCCGCCGCCGACGUCGCCAAAGGGUGGGCUGGGAUUCAGGUACAACGACGACUGCCGAUAUCUACUACGUGCACGAUGCAUGUCGCCAUAUUAGCCCCUAUUAAAAUCACAAUUCACAAAGAUCUCGACGUAAUAGAGUUCUUUCUGUUGUUGCUAAACUUUGUGCGCGUGUGACGUGGAUGAUAUCUCAGGCGAUCCCAAGGACGGUGUGGCUGGACCCCAGCGGGAAGCAGCUGCUGCAGUGGCCGAUCGAGGAGGUCGAGGCGCUCAGAGGCAAGUCGGUCACUGUCAAGGACAGGGUGAUCAAGCCAGGACAGCGCGUCGAGGUCAUCGGGCUACAAACUGCACAGGUUUGGCGUGCUUGUUAGGGAGUAUUUGGCUAAGGGGCUAAAAGUUUAGCCUUAUUACAUCGGAUAUUUAGAUACUAAUUAGAGUAUUAAAUAUACUUUAAUUAUAAAACUAAUUACAUAGAUGGAGUCUAAUUCGUGAGACGAAUCUAUUAAGCCUAAUUAGUCCAUGAUUUGAUAAUGUGGUGCUACAGUAACCAUUUGCUAAUGAUGGAUUAAUUAGACUUAAUAGAUUCGUCCCGCGAAUUAGCCUAGAGGUUCUGCAAUUAGUUUUAUAAUUAAUUCAUAUUUAGUCUUCCUACUUAGUAUCCGAACAUUGAGGGUUAAAUUUUAGCCACCGGUAUCAUACAGCUUGCGCAUUUUCUAACGAUUGAAAAAAAGAACAGCAGUAGUGCAGUACAAUAGCAGUAUAAUGCCAUCAAUGCCGUCCUGCAAAACUGCUCCCCUGAUCCGCACCCAGCGCGAUGUUAUCCUGGCCCGCUAUCUUAUCCGGCGCCAGUACUCUGCACGCACAAGUUGAUCCUGCCCAGUGCCCAGUUGCCCAGCAUGCUGUCCGUGCAGUACGGCAGCGCCCCCACUAGCCCCUCUGCCACGCCACCCGUGUCGCCUCCUCUAGUCCUCUUCCUGCCUUCUCCGCGCCUUUCGCCCUCGCCCGCCGUCAUCCGCGCAUACUUGCACGUGUUCUCUCUGGUCCCCGGGUGCGUCGCGACCUGGGCUGCGAACAGCGAAACCAACCAAACUAAACUUGGGCGUGCACGCGCUCCGGUUAAUUCGGCUGCAGGCUGACGUGGAGGUGAGCUUCGAGGUGUCGAGCCUGGCGGGCGCCGAGCCGCUGGACCCGGCGCUCGCCGGCGACGCGCAGCGGCUGUGCGGCGCCAGGGGCGCGGCCGUGGAGGGCGGCGUGGGGCCGUUCGGGCUGUGGGUGCUCGCGUCCGCCGACAUGCAGGAGAGGACCGCGGUGUUCUUCAGGGUGUUCAAGGCCGCCGGCAAAGACAAGCCCGUCGUGCUCAUGUGCACCGACCCAACCAAGUAAGUGCGCGCCCCGCGCCGGCGUCGAUCGAUCUCUCCCGGCCGGGUUGGUCUCAACCCUUGAUUGCACUGACUCUGGUUUCUUUUCCUUUUAUCCCUCUCGGACAGGUCAUCUCUGAACCCGAAUCUAUACAAGCCGACGUUUGCAGGUUUUGUUGACACAGACAUCUCAAAUGGGAAGAUUUCUCUGAGAAGCUUGGUACGCACAUAGUAGUACUCUAAGUAAACAAGUUUCAUGUAACAAGUCGGCGGUUCAUUUUUUCUCAGCCGUGUGACUGCAUUUUCUUUCUGCAGAUCGACCGGUCGGUUGUGGAGAGCUUCGGAGCCGGGGGCAAGACGUGCAUCCUCUCCAGGGUCUACCCGUCGCUCGCCAUCGGCAACAACGCCCGCCUCUACGUGUUCAACAACGGGAAGGCAGAUGUCAGGGUGUCGCGUCUGACGGCGUGGCAGAUGAAGAAGCCACUCAUGAAUGGCGCCUGACAAGAGCUUCCAUUGUGUCGAUCUGGUUCACAAAUUGGGAAGUGUUCCACACAAUUUCCGUGUAGAAUGGCUCCUUCGUACUAGAAUAGUACAAUACUACAAUUGUUUCGACUGAAACUUUUCAAGAAAAAAACACAAUGAUUUCGAUUGUGUUUUUAUUAGGGUAUGGAAAGUGCAGAUUUGUAUGCAUUCCACUACGAACAACAAUAAAUAUUCACAUAUUUGCGUGAUGGUUGUUGGAAUGUGAUCUCGAUUAAUCAUGGGGUAAUAAUUAAGUUUAAAUCCAAGAUUAAUUAAUGAUAGUCACCAUCCAAUUUAUUUUAAGUUACUCCCUCCCUUAGGUCGUUUUGACUUUCUAGGUUCAUAGAUAUUAUUAUGCACCUAGACGUACGAUAUAUCUAGAUGCAUAAUAAUAUUUAUGAAUAUAAAAAAACUAAAACGACCUGUAAUGUGAAACAGAGAAAACCACCUACAAUGUGGAACAGAGAAAAUAGUUGCAAUAGUCGGCUGCAACCCUAACAUACUGGGAGAGAGGCAGCUACAAUGAUCAAAUGAUAAGCUAACACAAACUCAUGGAUCUGCCACCGCCACUGGAGCAACAACGGCACUUCCAACUUCCAAGCAUGAAUCAAGAGAAAGAAUAAAACAAAGAGGUAACCCUAGAAUACAGAACAACAUCGAGAUCAAAGCAUCAACCCUAGGGAACGACAGGUCCCGCUACGGAUCAUUUUGAACCAAUGCCAAAAAAGUUGCUUACAAAUUCAACAGAUGUGAUACAGAUUUAGGAAGAUUAGCCCGUGCAUCAUCACAAUGAGUAUUGCAUAUCAAAAUGUCAGAUAUAGUGUUCGAGAUAUUACGCAAAGAUUACCGGCUAGUAAGGUUACUAAUGGGGCACCCAAUGUGAUAUAACUAGUUUAUAUCUCUAAGAAAACUGAAGAUAGGAUCUCCCAAAAAACUUCAAUUUAGAGAACAAGCUUAGGAAUUCAAAAUGGGUAUGCCCGUUACGCGAGUGCCAAAGUACUAUAUAUAAGGUCGAAAAUUUCCUCGCAUGCCACUAGUUAAACCAUAAAUUCCUCGCAUACUAUUGCCAUUGACUGCGAGUGGUCCCACAUGUCAUAGACACAUUGAUGGCAUAUGAGAGAUUAUAAAUUUUUUUCAAUGGUUUGUAAGGAAAUUCCCCAUAUAAGAUGGGGUGAGAAACCCUCAAGGGGCAAACAAAACAAGAAGAAAUAAACCAUAAAGGAUAUAGCGAGGUCGUAAUCAUCAAUUUUCUUGCAUGUAGUGCGAGGCCCAGCCCUUUUUCUAAGCGCAAAUGCGGCACCUUGAAUAUUUUCCAUCAUAUACAUUGAUUUAUUGAGUCCACAAGUCAAUGCCUUACCUAAUCUACCCUCUCCACACGCACGCACGCACGGAGGUAGUAGUAUUUCCAUUUCUCUCCCAGUCCCAUCCCCUGUCUCUCCAAUUCGAAGCCUUAUUAGUAAAAAAAGAAUUCCAUACAUUGACGACCAUAUGGGACAAACAGUGAUAAAAAUGAUGAGUUAGUAAAGCUACAAAGGCAUGAAGGGGGGGUUAGCAUGAUACUUUUGAUAUCCAGGAAUUAAUCGAGCUGUCCACGGGUCUCAAAUGGCUAACAGUUAACCAUGCACUGCAUUUAAAAACCAUACGGUUGAUUUGGAAUGCAUUCAGUUAUUAAAAACCAUGCUCUUGAUUUUGAAGACAACUAAUUUCAUAACUAAGAACACAACUAAUUUUAGGUGGUUAGAUAUUAAACUACUAGAUUUACAUAAUCUCAUAAUCGAGCUACAACCGAGCUAAUGGCAGGUAAUAAUGGAUACGGAAAAAACCAAUUAACACCACAACACCCACAACCAAAAAUCCGACCACUAAUAACCAAGGAUCUAAACAGGUCUCAAAUCAUUUUUUACUAUCCAACUUUUUAAAACCUAUACCUAUAAUCUAGAUUCUUAAUUAUAAUCUGUAGGUGAUCCAAUAAGGCUCUUCAUCAUGUCAUCCCUUUUUUUAAACUCAGUACUACAGAUGCUCGCAUUUUUCUAACGAUCUUGACAAUUUCAAGAUCUGUCGGCCCAUUCUCUCGGACGUGUUCAUAUACAUGCAUAUGUUCAUAGGGGUAACUGUGUUUGUACUGUGUUUUAAUUAAAAAAAAGAAUAAUAGUAGCACUACACAUGUCCUUUUCACCACACUCGGCGCAGCACGCUUCUCAUGUCAGCGCAUCGUGAACCCCUGCUGGACGUGAGCUGCAUGCGUCGAGUGGAUCUUGGGGAUCAUGUUGACGCUUUCUGUUGGUUAAUUAGGGUGCCGUAGCUGCUUGGACUGAUGGGUGAUGGCUUGCUGCAUGCAUGCGCCAUCCAGCUCUGUGCCUCGAUCUGUUUCUGCGAUGCAAGUCUAUCCAGUUAGUUGAGAAUCCUUUGCUGCGCGCGUGGACUAUGACAUGCAUGGAUAGUUUAUUUUCUGGAAUUUUUGCGUGCCCCGCGUUAGAUGCAAACCCCUCGUUCCUUAUAAAAGGGAAUCGAUCCUGCACUUCUUUGUUGUGUUCUUCAUUGAUCAUCCGUCAUCCAGUUAACGAUCGAGCUCGGUAGUGAAGUGCUCGUCUGCUGGCUGCUUUGUUAUUAGGAAUGGGACCGGCGGCAGUGACGGCACUACUGCUGCUGGCUCUGCUUACGAUCGUGCGUGCGUCGCACGUCGUGUACCCGGAGCUUCAGUCGUUGGAGGCGACGCAGAUCGACGAGACGUCGCGCACCGGGUACCACUUCCAGCCGCCCAAGCACUGGAUCAACGGUACGUGGAUGCAUGAGUCGUUGUGUUGUACUUGUCAGCCUUUGCAUAUUUUAUGUGCCAUUGUUAUUGAUUGGAGGUUGAUCUUACCUUUUUUUUUGUUCCUUUUGAUUUUUAUUUAUCCUGCGUUCUACCUCGCGCGAUUUGACGACGAUCAGAUCCGAAUGGUAUGCCCCUGCAUCGAAACCCCUUCAUGUACACUCGACUCAUAAGAAACACCACAAGAAUAACAAUGUGGUUUUUGUUUUUCGAUGUAACCAACUCGCGAUGGCACAUUGUCAUGCAAUAUUGCAAUGCACGGAUGCAGGGCCAAUGUACUACAAGGGGCUGUACCACCUCUUCUACCAGUACAACCCGAAGGGCGCGGUCUGGGGCAACAUCGUGUGGGCGCACUCGGUCUCGACUGACCUGAUCGACUGGACGGCGCUGGACCCGGGGAUCUACCCGUCGAAGCCGUUCGACAUCAACGGCUGCUGGUCCGGCUCCGCCACCUUGCUGCCCAGCGGCGUGCCGGUGAUGAUGUACACCGGCAUCGACCCGGACGAGCACCAGGUACAGAACGUGGCCUACCCCAAGAACCUCUCCGACCCGUUCCUCCGCGAGUGGGUGAAGCCCGACUACAACCCCAUCAUCUCCCCCGACGGCGGCAUCAACGCCAGCGCCUUCCGCGACCCGACCACCGCCUGGUACGGGCCCGACAGGCACUGGCGCCUGCUGGUGGGGAGCAAGGUGGGCGACAAGGGCCUCGCCGUGCUGUACCGGAGCCGGGACUUCAAGCGGUGGGUCAAGGCGCACCACCCGCUCCACUCGGGGCUCACGGGGAUGUGGGAGUGCCCGGACUUCUUCCCCGUCGCGGUGCACGGUGGCAGCCGCCACCACCGCCGCGGCGUCGACACCGCCGAGCUGCGCGACGCCGCCGUGGCCGAGGAGGUCAAGUACGUGCUCAAGGUCAGCCUGGACCUGACGCGGUACGAGUACUACACGGUGGGCUCCUACGACCACGCCACGGACAGGUACACCCCAGACGCCGGCUUCCCCGACAACGACUACGGCCUCCGGUACGACUACGGCGACUUCUAUGCGUCCAAGUCGUUCUACGAUCCGGCGAAGCGCCGCCGCAUCCUCUGGGGCUGGGCCAACGAGUCCGACACCGUCCCCGAUGACCGCAAGAAGGGUUGGGCUGGCAUUCAGGCGAUCCCGAGGAAGCUGUGGCUGUCGCCACGCGGGAAGCAGCUGAUCCAGUGGCCGGUGGAGGAGAUCAAGGCGCUGCGCGCCAAGCACGUGAACGUCAGCGACAAGGUCGUCAAGAGCGACCAGUACUUCGAGGUCACCGGCUUCAAGUCCGUGCAGGUUCGUCAAGUACUUUGUCUGAACACGAUCGACGCCCUUACGUUUCCACGUCAUCCCGUCGUAGGAUUCUUACUUGAAAUGUCCAUUCAUCAGUCGGAUGUGGAGGUGGCGUUCGCGAUCAAGGACCUGAGCAAGGCGGAGCAGUUCAACCCGGCGUGGCUCAGGGACCCGCAGGCGCUCUGCAAGAAGCGCGGCGCGCGCGUCACGGGCGAGGUGGGGCCGUUCGGGCUGUGGGUGCUGGCCGCCGGCGACCUCACGGAGAGGACCGCCGUCUUCUUCAGGGUGUUCAAGACCACCGGCAGCAAGCACGUCGUCCUCAUGUGCAACGACCCUACCAACUCGACGUUCGAGUCGCAGGUCUACCGGCCGACCUUUGCCGGCUUCGUCGACGUCGACAUCGCCCAGACGAAGACGAUAGCCCUCAGGACAUUGGUACGUAAAUGUUCUUGUAUAUACACGUAGAUUCGCGCGAGGUCUAACACUGUGAAUCAUAAAACUUUGGUUGCUCCGAUCCACUGCACGUAUGAACAAUGCAGAUCGACCACUCCGUGGUGGAGAGCUUCGGUGCCGGCGGCAAGACGUGCAUCCUGACGAGGGUGUACCCCAAGAAGGCCGUGGGAGACGACGCGCACCUCUUCGUCUUCAACCACGGCGAGGUGGACAUCAAGGUCGUGAAGCUGGACGCCUGGGAGAUGAAGACCCCGAAGAUGAACGCGCCGGCGCAGUAGCACGAGGACUAGUGGUGUGGUGGUAGCCCUAGCCGUAGCCGUACGUAGGUUUAACGUUAGCUGAGAUCGUCAAAGCUUCAGAGAAAUGCAUGGUCGGGUUCGUUUCGUUCAGAUCAUCUCACACCGCUCUCUCUCUCUCCAUCGCAAAAAUUGCAGCAUGCAGCACUCGGUGCAUGCACAAAAGUUUUGAUGGUCAGGAAUCAAUGUUCAGUUAUGGAAUUGUUUCAGUAUGAGCUACUACUAUCUUCCAUCUUAAUGCAAUGAUACGUAGCUUUUCUGCGUAUUUAAAAAAAAAGCUACUGCUACCUUUUUCCCAAAACCUUUGUGUGAUAUGGGGUUUCUCUUUCUUUUCUUUUUCUUUUCCUACUUUUUUAAAAAGCAAAGAAGGUUUUACUAUUAGUAGGAGAAAAUAAGAACAUGUGGCGGUUAUUGCACACAGUCCAUCCUAGCUACUGUCACUCAUUUCGCUCAUCUUUGGACCGGGCAGUUGUGAUCCAACAACAACACUUGAC
rnacentral:lncRNA from 1 species